UGGCGGACGGGGUGAGUAAUGUCUGGGAAACUGCCCGAUGGAGGGGGGUAACUACUGGAAACGGUAGCUAAUACCGCAUAACGUCGCAAGACCAAAGAGGGGGACCUUAGGGCCUCUUGCCAUCGGAUGUGCCCAGAUGGGAUUAGCUUGUUGGUGGGGUAACGGCUCACCAAGGCGACGAUCCCUAGCUGGUCUGAGAGGAUGACCAGCCACACUGGAACUGAGACACGGUCCAG
rnacentral:rRNA from 1 species